GAUGAACGCUGGCGGCGUGCCUAAUACAUGCAAGUCGAGCGAACAGACGAGGAGCUUGCUCCUCUGACGUUAGCGGCGGACGGGUGAGUAACACGUGGAUAACCUACCUAUAAGACUGGGAUAACUUCGGGAAACCGGAGCUAAUACCGGAUAAUAUAUUGAACCGCAUGGUUCAAUAGUGAAAGACGGUUUUGCUGUCACUUAUAGAUGGAUCCGCGCCGCAUUAGCUAGUUGGUAAGGUAACGGCUUACCAAGGCAACGAUGCGUAGCCGACCUGAGAGGGUGAUCGGCCAAACUGGAACUGAGACACGGUACAGACGCCUACGGGAGGCAGCAGUAGGGAAUGUUCCGCAAUGGGCGAAAGCCUGACGGAGCAACGCCGAGUGAGUGAUGAAGGUCUUCGGAUCGUAAAACUCUGUUAUUAGGGAAGAACAAAUGUGUAAGUAACUAUGCACGUAUUGACGGUACCUAAUCAGAAAGCAACGGCUAACUACGUG
rnacentral:rRNA from 1 species